AAGAAGAAGAAAAGAAACCGCUAGAAGAAAAAGAAAACGGUGAAGGAAAAGAGAGAGAGGAGCAACUCUCGAACCCCUCUGGUUAGAUCCGACUUCCGAGAUCCUUCGAUUACCGCCGGAAAACUUCAAUGGGUUGGUUCAAGGGAUAAGAACGAGAACGAUCCAAGUCUUUAGCUUAGCUGUAAAGAAGUUAAAGGUGAGAUACGCUAACCUUGGUUAUAUUGCUUUUUCAAGCAAAUUAUGUUCUGCGUUUCUUAUGCUCAAUAGUUAUGAUAUGUUAUAAGGAAGCAUGAUUUGAUGAAAUGUUUUUAUAUCUUAUACCUUAUGCCAUGGAAAUAUGUUACGAGUUGUGUAUUCAAGAUGAUGAUUUUAUAAGGAUGAUUAUGUUUGAGAGGUGAUGACUCUAUGAACACCUUGCCAUCUAAAGGUGAAAAAGAAUUGACAUGACAAUUCUAUGAGCUUAAAGUUCAUUGAUGCAUCUAGACAGCGGUGUCCCGGGUCAGGGGGACGGAUUUUAAAGAUACCGUGACCAACGAAGGGGUUAUAAGGAAGGAUUGUUAUAUGGCACCAGUUGCCAGUGAUUUGAUCAUUUCACACCACGUGGGGUCGCUCCCCUAUGCAUGUUAAGCUGUUGGAUGUGCAUCAUUUACAUAUGCAAAGUUGUUGAUAUGCAAUUCUUCUUAUGAAAUUUAUGAUAAAGCUAUGAUAUGCUAGAUUGCUAUGUCAAUAAGGUUUAUGAAAGUUAUUUCCAUGGUAAAACGUAUAACUCUGGUGUUGUAUCUCACACGAGCUAUCGGCUUAUGAAAAUUUACUAUUUUCCUACAGGUUAUGGCGAGUAGGGCUGUAAACGAGCCGAACCGAGCCGAAUAUUAGAAUACUCAGAUUCGUUCGUUAAGUUUUUUAGCGAACUCGAGCUCGAGCCGAACUCAAUGAAAAUUAUGACGAGCCGAACUCGAACCGAGCUUGCCCAGGUUUGGGUCGAACUCGAGCUUGUUUACGAGCCUUAACGAUUCAAUAAUAUCAUAUUUUUAUGUUCUUAUACAGGUCUAAAACUGCAAAUAAAAUUUUCAUUAUGUACAUAAAUAUGUUCAUAUACAUAUAAAAAGAUAAAAACAUAUACAUAAGUAAAUUUUUAGUAAUUGUAAACGUUUAGACUUGUACAAGUUUUAAAAUUUUUACUAUAUAACUAUAUAAAAUCCCCAUGAUACACAUAUAGUUCAGGUUCGCGAGCCUAAUCGAGCCGAAUACUGUUGCGUUCAUGUUCGGCUCAUUUAUGAAACGAGCCUAAAAUUGAGGUUCAGGUUCGGUUCAUUUAGUAGACGAAUCGAACUCGAACGAGCCUUUACCGAGUCGAGCCUCGAACAGUUCACGAACGACUCAGUUCAUUUACAGCCCUAAUGGCGAGUAGGAAUGAAGUAUGCUGCUGCCCGGUGGACAUGUAGAUAUUGUAUAGCUAAAUUUUGAAAACCAAACCGGUAAUUGACUGUUCCCCAUUUUGUGUAAGAUCACCUACGUUUUGAAAAGGUUGUAAAUUCGCUAAGGCUCUGAUGGUGUUUUAAUAAAUGUAAUAAUGCUUCCGCAGUUUUUUUUUUUAAA